GGGGACAUAGUAUAGUUUGGUUAGUAUACUUCUUUUGCACAGAAGAGAGACAGGUUCGACUCCUGUUGUCUCCA
rfam:Tilletia controversa strain DAOM 236426 scaffold_1, whole genome shotgun sequence.